ACCGCUGCGCCACCCAGGGAUCCCCGAUUCUGGAUUUUUUAUAUCAUGCUCCGUUCAGUUGUUGAUUACACAUAACUUUUUCAGUCAUUCCCGUUGUGGGUUUUUUUGUUUUUUCGUGAUAUUUUUUGCCACAGAUUUAUCAUGUGUUUAUAUACUUUUUUAUAUAUAUAUUUUUUAUCAUUUGUUUAUGAUCAAAUACUGAAUACUUUUAUUCAUUCAUGGCUUCUGGCUUUGGUAUUAUACCUAAAAGUUCUCCAUCAGUGUGUUCAUAUUCAUGGUUUCAUAUUAUCUACUUAAUUGUAUGCUUUUAAUCCUCCCCCCCGAUUGAAACACCUCUGAUUCUCUUGGGAAUUUAGUAUUCGAUAAUAAGCAAGGUCAAGACCAGCUUUCUGUUUCUUCUCAGUUGAGUGACCCAAAUAAUUUCACUACUGUUCUUUACGUACUCUUUCCAGAUUGGUUCCACUCUGGCUUCUGACUCUUAAUUUUAACCUUUUUCUCCAGUCACGUCUCUGGGUCGGGGUGGACCCUUAUGACACAACUGCUGAUGUCCUGGCUAACGAACCCUACCUUCCCACGAGGACUCGGGACUUGUGUUGGAUUCUGGGCAUGAACUCUGCAGCCACCUAUCUUCACAUUUUUGGCCGUAUCCUCUGCUACCUGUUCAGAAUCCAAAGAGCAGGAGGAGCAUCUCCAUUGAAGUCUGGAGCAAAACACACAUACUGCGUAUGACCACUAUGAUUCCACGCGAUUAUCGUGUCAAGUAGAAAAUUAAACCAGGCACGGAAAAAAGACGUCGGUACGCACCAGGUUUGACGUGUGAUCCCUUCCGUUGCCUGUUUGAUGCAGAGGUUUCCCUUCGUCUUGAGUGUGUAUUGUCAAUAGAAUAUCUUUAAAAAGUUUCCUGUCUUAUAUUUACCUCUUCUUAUCCGCCUAAGAAUAAUUUUGCUGUGAAAAGCUGACAGGAUUUUUGCUUUUUUCCCCAGCAUCACGUGUUAGAUGACACCUGCCUGCUGAUUUGGUCUUCUGGACGAGUGGCAGAGCUGAAGCAGAUGUUGAUGCAGGACAGCUUGGCUAUGAAGAAUUCGUGGCGGGUGAGGAGGUUGGUGUUUGGAAGAACUGAUGACCAGCAUGAUGAGGAGAUUCCUCACCGUGGUGACCAGCUCAGUUUUCUAAACUGUGUUCCCUGGAUGUUAACAAGUGAUUCAAGAAGUUUCUGUGAUAUUUGAAGCCCGAGUGUCAUUGGGAGCUCAUGCUUGAAGCCUUGUCAGACAAAAGGGCUUAUCUGGGAAGUUAUGUCCUCAUGUCUCUGUCUCUCUCGAGUUCACGCCAUGGGAUCCACAAAGUUAUGUGUCCAUGUGGUGCGACUCCACCACACAGGCAAAUCUAUGCCCUUAAAUCGGAUGCAUGUGAAAUGGGAAAACAUAAUAAAAUGUGAUUUUAAGAUAUUGGCUCGUGAAAGCACCUGGGUGACUCACCAGUUGAGUGUCUCCCCUCGGCUCAAGGCAUGAUCCUGGGGUCCUGGGAUCAAGUCCUGCCUUGGGUUUCCUGCAUGGAGCCUGCUUCUCCCUUUGCCUGUGUCUCUCCCUCUCUCUCAUGAAUAAAUAAAAUCCCUUAAAAAAAGAAAAAAUAAGAUAUUGACUCAUGAAAGACAUUGUAAAAGAUUUCAAGGAUCUCCCAUAUAAAUAAACCCCAGGUACAGAUGCUUUUACAAGUCAUAUCAAUUCUUCAGAAUGAAUUUUUCAGAAUCAAGUCUUCUGAUUCUGCUAACAUCUCGUCCCAAUAUUACAAGGUCAGAAUGGUGGAACAACAUCUGACAAGUUCAUUUUCAAAUCCCAGCAACCUCAAGACAGCAUACCGAAUCCCAAACUCAGAAACAACAGUACAUAUGCAAAAUAAUGAGGCAAAAAUCCUGAAUAAUGUGCAAAUUCCGCCUGAACAUAUGGUGAAAGGAUCAUCCUGCAUGUGGAAACAUAAAGAUGGUCACUGCGAGGACAGAAACCUGAGUCCGCGUCCCGAUGCUGCUGAGCCUUGGUCGGGCAGCCUGGGGCCAUCUCAACGGCAGAGGUGCCUGCUUGCCUGAGCACACGCCCUGCACCCUGUGUGCCGGGACUACCAGUGCUGCCCACUGUCCUACCAGGCCUGCACCCCUCAGCCCCCAGGGGCUUGGCUCUGUCCGAGGGCGUAGGCUUCUGACCCGCCAUUCCUCGGGUGGCUCACUGUUCACCUCAGGGCGGGGCCCCAGGGUCUCCCUCAGGGCUACUCUCCAAUGCCAGGUGCUCCCUACAGAUCUGGGCCCUGGAGGCCCCUGCAACAGCCCCGCCCGUGGCCCCUCCUCACGGCCCCCCGGCGUCAAGACCCCAGAUUCCUUGCAGGGGACCACUGUCACCCGGUGACCCCGCCUCCCCCACACUCUGAUGCUCGAGCCUGGCUUCUCUUCGGGGAGCCCCUCCCGCGCCUCCAGGGGCCUCCUGGUUCUGUCGGAGCGCGUCUGGUCACGCGCCCCGUGUGCUGCGGCUCCUACAGCAAGAGACU